CUGGCGCCGCCUCCAUGCCCCUCUGUGUGCCUGCGCCUCCUUGGCACGGCCUGUGCAGCCCUGACACCGCCUGAGCCUUCUCUGCACGCCGGCGCCUCCCUGGGUUUUCGGCGACAGUGAAGGAGUGUGUGGCUGCAGCCGUGCCCCCAGCCUGUGGGCAGCCGCACCACCGCCCUUAAGUGCGUGUCUCCGGUAAGGCAUUUAGCUAGAAGGGGCUUCUGUUCCCCACUUCAAGCCACCACUUUCAAAUCCCUCGAAAAAUCAACCACAGCAACCACUUAAAAAUGAAAAAAAUAACUCUGAUAAAGUACAAUUUCCUUCCUUUCGAUUUAUGUCUGGAUAGAAGGCCAACGCUGUCAGAGCACACCCUGUGCCGGUCACAUAAGCUGCUGCAGGAGGCUCCUGUGUCGGGGGUCCCCAUUCUUCACCCUCCGCAGAUGCAUCCCCUUCUCCACGUGGAGACUCCUCAGUUCCUUCCAUUGAAGAGACAGCGCUGCCUCUCUGGACCCUUGACUCUGAGUCAGGCCAUGUGACUUGUUCUGGUCAAUGGGAUGCCUGCUGCUGUGACACCUGAGGAGGCUCAGGACAGACUUGUGUUUUUCUGUGCCACUGUUACGAGCGUGUGCCUGGGCUCUGGCUGAGGGAUGAGGUGUGAGGCGAAUCAUUCCAGAUGGGGCCACCCUGGACCAUCCAGCAGCAGCUUCUCUGGACAGAGCAUUUGGAAGCGAAGUUUAAGAGAGGAUCGGGACCACAUGACCUCUGGGAAAGCCUCUGCCAACUCCACAUUCCCGGAGUUCCUGAGUCUGACGGUCGAGAAUAAUGAAUCUGGUGGCCGUGAGCAGGUGAGUUCAGGAGCAGAGGUGCCAGACCAGGGCUCACAAAUUCCCACGGUGAAGGGGCCAGACAGACAGUGUAAACAUUUUAAAAGAUUAGCAAUGUAUUAACAUAUUUUAAAACAUUAUGUAAAUGAAAUCAAGCAUGUUUGCAGGCCAGAUAUUGCCCAGUGGGCACCAGUUUGAGACCAUGGUACUGGAGAAAGUAAACUCAGUUAAUAAUCCUUCUAUAAAGUCUUGGGCAGGGAAUCAAAGGAGAACAAAAGAAAAAAGAAGAAAUCUGGGAGUCUUUG